AGUGAACGCUGGCGGUAGGCCUAACACAUGCAAGUCGAACGGCAGCACAGUAAGAGCUUGCUCUUACGGGUGGCGAGUGGCGGACGGGUGAGGAAUACAUCGGAAUCUACUUUUUCGUGGGGGAUAACGUAGGGAAACUUACGCUAAUACCGCAUACGACCUACGGGUGAAAGCAGGGGAUCUUCGGACCUUGCGCGAUUGAAUGAGCCGAUGUCGGAUUAGCUAGUUGGCGGGGUAAAGGCCCACCAAGGCGACGAUCCGUAGCUGGUCUGAGAGGAUGAUCAGCCACAAUGGAACUGAGACAAGGUCCAGACUCCUAAGGGAGGAAGCAGUGGGGAAUAUUGGACAAUGGGGGAAAGCCUGAUCCAGCCAUACCGCGUGGGUGAAGAAGGCCUUCGGGUUGUAAAGCCCUUUUGUUGGGAAAGAAAGGCAGCAGGUUAAUACCCCGCUGUUCUGACGGUACCCCAAGAAUAAGCACCGGCUAACUUCGUG
rnacentral:rRNA from 1 species